rnacentral:misc_RNA from 1 species
AGCAGCCGCGGUAAUUCCAGCUCCAAUAGCGUAUAUUAAAGUUGCUGCAGUUAAAAAGCUCGUAGUUGAAUUUCGGGACUAAUAUGUCGGUCGUGCCUCGGUACGUACUGGUUUAUUGGUUUCUCCUUUCUGAAGAACCAUGAUGUCAUUUAUUUGGUGUCGUGGGGAAUCAGGACUGUUACUUUGAAAAAAUUAGAGUGUUUAAAGCAGGCUCACGCUUGAAUACAUUAGCAUGGAAUAAUGAAAUAGGACGUUUGAUUCUAUUUUGUUGGUUUCUAGGAUCGACGUAAUGAUUAAUAGGGAUAGUUGGGGGCAUUAGUAUUCAAUUGUCAGAGGUGAAAUUCUUGGAUUUAUUGAAGACUAACUACUGCGAAAGCAUUUGCCAAGGAUGUUUUCAUUAAUCAAGAACGAAAGUUAGGGGAUCGAAGACGAUCAGAUACCGUCGUAGUCUUAACCAUAAACUAUGCCGACUAGGGAUCGGAUGAUGUUAAUUUUUUAANGACUCAUUCGGCGCCUUACG